AUACGUAGGGGGCAAGCGUUAUCCGGAUUUACUGGGUGUAAAGGGAGCGUAGACGGCGAAGCAAGUCUGAAGUGAAAGGACGGGGCCCAACCCCGGAACUGCUUUGGAAACUGUUUGGCUGGAGUGCGGGAGGGGUAAGCGGAAUUCCUAGUGUAGCGGUGGAAUGCGUAGAUAUUAGGAGGAACACCGGUGGCGAAGGCGGCUUACUGGACCGUAACUGACGUUGAGGAUCGAAGGCGUGGGGAGCAAACAGGAUUAGAUACCCUGGUAGUCCACGCGGUAAACGAUGAUCACUAGGUGUCCGUGGGUAUGACCCAUGGGUGCCGCAGCCAACGCAAUAAGUGAUCCACCUGGGGAGUACGUUCGCAAGAAUGAAACUCAAAGGAAUUGACGGGG
rnacentral:rRNA from 1 species